GACUCAGAUUCUGGCUGAUGCUCAACUAAGCAACACUUCUGAGCUCCUGGGGUGACCCAACUAUGGAUUUGGUGUGUUUAGAAAACUUUGGAAGUUAGCUUCCACGCCAUUGGUAACCUUUAAUUUUGGGACACUGAAAUGUCUCAAAAAGCGACUGCAGAUCUAGAAGUCCCCAUGAGUUCCAGUAGCUUGGGAGGGACCAACGAAGAAAAAGGGGGGACUCGCAGGCAAUGUCCAUAGCUACAAGAAGAGGAGGAGAAAGGAGAUCACGCUGCUGUCAGGCUCAGGAGCUCAGAAGCAAGCACUGCACGGCAGCCCCAAAACUUACUUCCUCCGGGCGCGCCGCGAUGACGUCAUCCCUGCUGCGGCUCGGAGGCGUCACUCGCAGGCGCGCGGAGAGGACUUCAAGGCUCGGUUUUGACUCUGAUUUGGUGGCGACGGGGAGAGGGAAAAUUGAGAGUGAGGAGUUCAGUUUGUGGAUUCUGGAAACCAGCAUUUGAGAAGGAAAGCUGUGUGUUUACGGAGGGACUCUAUCUGUCCUUUCCGCCUUUUAAAAGUCUCAAUGCCCGUUAACCGCUUACUCCACUUGCCUCAUCAAGUCUGGAAACGCGAGAAAACUCAUUUCCGCGUCUGCGGGGUCGCGAGGCGGCUGCAGGUGGACGGGUUAGAUUCAGCCUUGCUCGUUUCAGCUGGACAGAGAUGGGGCGCCUGUGUUUACAUCGAAUUACCAGUGUUUCUUUCUGAUCCACAAGCAGCUAAAAAAGUCACAUUGCUUGAACAAAACGUAUCCAGUCCAUUAACUCACUCCACAACUGUCGAGCUAGCGCCCCGGAACAGCGCCAGCGCCAGAAACAGAACAAGGCGCCGCUGCUAUCCAGUUAUCGGAUUUUUCCAAUUCACCAGUCCAGAUCUAGGGCAAUUUCACAAACCUGACUUUUUAUGUCAGUUACUCAUCAGAGUAAAAGGAAACGAA